ensembl:snRNA U6 U6 spliceosomal RNA
GCGCUUUCUUCAGCAGCACAUGUACUAAUAUUGGAAUGAUACAGAAAAGAUAAGUAUGGCCCCUGCACAGGAUGACAAGUCUCUUUCACCACAACAAAGUGAA